AUUGAACGCUGGCGGCAGGCCUAACACAUGCAAGUAGAACGAGUGGCGGACGGGUGAGUAAUGUCUGGGAAACUGCCUGUUGGAGGGGGAUAACUACUGGAAACGGUAGCUAAUACCGCAUACCAUCGGAUGUGCCCAGAUGGAAUUAGCCAGUAGGUGGGGUAACGGCUCACCUAGGCCACGAUCCCUAGCUGGUCUGAGAGGAUGACCAGCCACCCUGGAACUGUGACACGGUCCAGAUUCCUACGGGGGGCAGCAUUGGGGAAUAUUGCAAAAUGUGCGCAAGCCUGAUGCAGCCAGGCCGCGUGUAUGAAGAAGGCCUUGGAGUUGUAAAGUACUUUCAGCGGUGAGGCGUUACCCGCAGAAGAAGCAACGGCUAACUCCGUGCCAGCAGCCGCGGUAAUAC
rnacentral:rRNA from 1 species